rfam:Ornithorhynchus anatinus chromosome X1, whole genome shotgun sequence.
CCCUUCUCAGGAUCGCAUCUGGAAAGUUUCCAGUAUUCUACCAGUCUCGGCUAAAGGAGGGAGAGUCAAGCAGAGACACCCCCAUUCCAUUUCUAGCUUGGGCAGGGACUAGAGACCCAUUCCAUUCCUACCUUGGGUAGGGGCUAGCGAGUGGAAGGCAAUCUGCUACAAAU